UAUGCAGAGAAAACAAUAGAGCAUUGAACAGUUUGAUCUUUGUCUCGUCUGACCUCAUUACAUUCUCCCAGUAACCUACAGGCUUCUCCAAAUGUUCUGUAGCAAGCUUGAAACGAGCUUCAACAUGCCUUUUCUACAGUAAUGGAAUCAAGGCGUGAUGGUGAAUGGAGACUGUAGCAGUAUUGCGCACUGCAUAUUGCUUUCUCUGACGACUGUACUCGCUGCUUCCAGUUCUUUCUGGAGAGCUUUUCGAGUGGUCCUCGGCUCUUGGGCUUCUCCUCUGCGUAACUUUGUCAGCCCUGUCAGAAAUCUUGCGAGGAGCUCCUGCGUGUGGCCGGUUGAUAGUCACCUAAUGGUGCUUAAAGGAACAUUUGGGAGUAAUUCUUUGGAGAGCGCUUUGCUUCUACUCAUCAUGAGAUGUUUCUUGCGCGACAGUUUGGUGACAAAUGAUUUGUUUACUUGUAUUCAGAGGUGGGUUCCCCUUUUCCACAGAGUGGACGUACUAACCUACCAUCAUACACUAACCCAGCUGAUUCUAAUUAGCACAGACUUGUCCAGCGCUAGAAGAACCAGAGAGCUGCUUCACAGAAGAAAGAAGAAGAAGAAGAAGCAGAAGGAGGAAAUGAGGUGCGUAUGAAAAAACUGGUUUACGUGAUGAAUCAUUCCAUUUAUACUUGAAUAAUGUCUCCAAGCUGCAGUUAGCGUUAGCCUAGCAGGUAUAUAUUAUUAGAAUAUAUUACUGAAACAGUGUUAACUUGAAUAACGAAGGCUGCGGUUCACUCUACAGGUAAUAUUUAAAGACUACACCAUGUUGUUCUAUGCGUUUUGUUCACAGAGAGCUUUUUAGUGAAGCCGUGAGCUGCUGAAUGAUUUCUGAGUUUUUAAUUUAAUCUCUGAUCCAGAAUCCUAAAUUGUGGUGGUCUCCUUUACCUACCGUGUAGUGAUUAGAAGACUAUCAUGAUUCAGUGAUCCCGUGUGUGAAGCUGCUCCGUUUUGGACUCUGUAUAGCAAUAAAAAUACACAAC
ensembl:lncRNA